CGAAAGCCUGACGGAGCAAUACCGCGUGAGGGAGGAAGGCUCUUGGGUUGUAAACCUCUUUUCUCAGGGAAGAAGAUCUGACGGUACCUGAGGAAUAAGCAUCGGCUAACUCCGUGCCAGCAGCCGCGGUAAUACGGAGGAUGCAAGCGUUAUCCGGAAUUAUUGGGCGUAAAGCGUCCGCAGGUGGUCACUCAAGUCUGCUGUCAAAGACUAGAGCUUAACUCUGGAAAGGCAGUGGAGACUGAGUAACUAGAGUCCGGUAGGGGUAGCGGGAAUUCCCAGUGUAGCGGUGAAAUGCGUAGAUAUUGGGAAGAACAUCGGUAGCGAAGGCGCGCUACUGGGCCGGAACUGACACUCAGGGACGAAAGCUAGGGGAGCG
rnacentral:rRNA from 1 species